GUGGGGAGGGAGGAGAGGACCCAGAGGCCCCUCCACGCAGCCUACCCCUCUCCCUGCCCCCUCUGAGGUGGGGGAGGGGACGGGACAAGGGAGGACCCUCAGCUCCAAGUGAGACCCUCGGACAGCCCCCUGCAGGUGAGGGGCCCCCAGAGUAGGAAGCUGGUGUCCUCCUGGGGGCCAGCUCAGGAGGAGCUCAGGGUGCCCAUGGCCCUGGUUCCAGUCCCAGCUCUGCCACCUCCAGGCUCGGUCACCAGGACCCGACUCACGUGGUACCUGAGUGUCCUUAUCGGGGUCUCGGUGACCUUCGUCCUGCUGCUCCUCGUCCUCCUCUUCCUCUUCCUCCUACACCGGGGUCAGGACAGACGCAGGAAGUCAGGUGCUGCCGUGAGCGACGCACACUGAGGUGGGGCUGCAGCUGGACCAUCGGGCUGUCACAUCUGAAGCCCCCCAGGACGUGACCUACGCCCAGCUGAACCACUCGACCCUCAGAAGGGGGACGGCCGCACCCCCCAGCCCCCUGGCGGGGGAGCCCCCAGCAGACCCCAGUGAGCACGUGGCUCUCGCCGUUCGCUAGCCCAGGAAGGACCCGACCUCAGGCUCCAGAGAUGAGAUCUCAGGGACCCCAGGAGGCACGGGAGCUGCCAGCAGUGGACACAACCUAACGACCAGCAGCCAGUACCUGGGCUCCUAACAGACCACCAGGAGCCCCUGGGACCCUUUCGGGUCAACUUGUACCCUCAUAGAUAACCAAUAUCCUGACAUUCAUGAAAUAAUGCAACAGACUUGUCUAAAAUCGUGUGUGGAUGAAAAGAAAACUGGCUCCAAGCUCUACUCCCUCCUGGAGGCUGAAAGGGACAGUCUCACUGAGUUUCUGGGAAUAAUGGAACUUAUUAAGCUGGUGGGAAUCGGGCUCCCUGUCGGCUGAGGGUCCUGCCCAGCUUCCAGCAGCUGUCCCAGCCCUUGCCUUGUGGGUCCUCGCUUCAUCUUUGAAGCCCAAAUGGAAGAUGAGACUUGCUGCCUCUCUCUGAACGCGUCUGCUGCUCCCCUCUGCCACUGCUGAGGACCCGGGUAACUCUUUGGACCCCCCUAGCUAAUUUAGGAUCAUGCCCCCUUCUUCUCUCAGCUGCAGCUGCAUGAUCCUUCUUGCCAUGUGAGGUAACACGCCACAGGCUUGGGGAAUAGGAAGUAGGCAUCUUUUUGGGGGGUCUUUAUUCUGCCCAUCACACAUUGUAAGUGCGUGCACCAUUCAAUGGUCACUCGUAAACAUAUACAGUUGUGCAGCCAUCACACACACCAGUCGCAGAACACAUUUCUCCAUCCCUCAAACUUUGCUUGCCUGUCUGCAGGUGCGUGCUGAUCUCUGCCAUAGGUGGCCACUGAUUUGCUUUUUGUGUUUAUAAAUUUGCUUUUUAGGGUAUUUCAUAAAAAUAAGAUUAAAAAUAUUGAGUCUUUUCAUCCAGGCUGUUUUCCUAAAUUUAGCAUAAUUUCUUUUGAAUUUUUUUCCGUGUGUAGCAUUGACCUAUAGCUUCUUUUUUUCCUGUUGACUAUAUUCCAGGGAUUGUAUGUACUGUGU
ensembl:lncRNA